AUUGAACGCUGGCGGCAGGCCUAAUACAUGCAAGUCGAACGAGUGGCGGACGGGUGAGUAAUGUCUGGGAAACUGCCUGAUGGAGGGGGAUAACUACUGGAAACGGUAGCUAAUACCUCAUACCAUCAGAUGUGCCCAUAUGGGAUUGGCUUGUUGGUGGGGUAACGUCUCACCAAGGCGACGAUCCCUAGCUGGUCUGAGAGGAUGACCGGGCACACGGGAACUGAUACACGGCCCAGAUUCCUAGGGGAGGCAGCAGUGGGGAAGAUUGGAAAAUGGGGGAAACCCUGAUGCAGCCAGGCCGCGUGUAUGAAGAAGGCCUUCGGGUUUUAAAGUACGUUCAGCGGGGAGGCGGUACCUGCAGAAGAAGCACCGGCUAACUCCGUGCCAGCAGCCGCGGUAAUUC
rnacentral:rRNA from 1 species